rnacentral:rRNA from 1 species
GAUGAAUGCUGGCGGCGUGCUUAACACAUGCAAGUCGAGCGGUAAGGCCCUUCGGGGUACACGAGCGGCGGACGGCUGAGUAACGCGUGGGAACAUGCCCUAAAGUGAGGAAUAACUGCCCGAAAGGGUGGCUAAUGCCGCAUAUGAUCUUCGGCUUAAAGGAUUUAUCCGCUUUAGGGGUGGCCGGCGUACGAUUAGCUUGUUGGUGAGGUAAUGGCUUACCAAGGCGACGAUCGUUAGCUGGUCUGAGAGGAUGACCAGCCAGACUGGAACCGAGACACGGUCCAGACGCCUACGGGAGGCAGCAGUGAGGAAUCUUCCACAAUGGGCGAAAGCCUGAUGGAGCAACGCCGCGUGCAGGCUGAAGGCCCUCGGGUCGUAAACUGCUUUUAUGAGUGAAGAAUAUGACGGUAACUCAUGAAUAAGCACCGGCUAACUACGUGCCAGCAGCCGCCGUAA